CACAUUUCUAUUUCCCAACGCACACCCCUUCUUUCCUCUUCCAUCCGCUCUCCUUGCUCUCGGUCUGGGAUGCUGCCAGAUCUGGGCACUCCGGCGGCCUGAUGUUCGCCGCCGAUCUUGCUUACGCCGGGUUCUACCUCAGAUAUUCUCCGCCGGCACCUCCUCUCGCGGGACUGUACCACCGCCCCCUUGUUCUCAUUGGUUAUCAGAGACGAUGGUGCGUUCUUGGUCGGUCGAGAUUGGCAAGGAUGUAGACGGAAGGUGCACGAUCCACGAGACGUGACAUGGAUGAUGGGACGUGUCCGGUCUGAUAAGUUGAAUGGAUUUUUUUUUUUAAAACAGUUGCAUGACACGUGGCUAAAAAAAAAAAAUCGAUCUUGCAUCCGCUUUUCUCCUCGGAGAGCCGGCCCCUCAACUCUCGAGCCUCACCCCAGGAGUUGGAGAAAUUUACAAUUUUUCCCUCAAAGUUUCUUCUCUCCUCCCUCCUCUAUCCAGCGAGGCCUCCAGAGAAAUAAAUCAUCGCAACGAGUCCGUGAUGUGCUUUCGUUGGUUUUCCUCUUCCUCUCUUUGCCCCCUCCUGCUCUCUCUCUCUCUCGUGUCUUCCCUCUCUCCGCCCCACCUCGGCCUUCUAUUUCUUUUUCAUUUUAAUUUGAGUUUCGAGCCCGACAACUGUUGGGUGGAGACGAAUCGGAUCCGCACUGGUUAGGGUGGGGACGCCUUUAUUUUAUUUUGGGCGGUGGAGUACAUGAAAAAUGUUGAAUUAGAUGUCGCGAAUA